UACGUGGGGGGCAAGCGUUGUUCGGAAUUAUUGGGCGUAAAGGGCUCGUAGGCGGCCAACUAAGUCAUACGUGAAAUCCCUCGGCUUAACCGGGGAACUGCGUCUGAUACUGGAUGGCUUGAGAUUGGGAGAGGGAUGCGGAAUUCCAGGUGUAGCGGUGAAAUGCGUAGAUAUCUGGAGGAACACCGGUGGCGAAGGCGGCAUCCUGGACCAACACUGACGCUGAGGAGCGAAAGCCAGGGGAGCAAACGGG
rnacentral:rRNA from 1 species